CCUACGGGAGGCAGCAGUGAGGAAUAUUGGUCAAUGGACGGAAGUCUGAACCAGCCAUGCCGCGUGCAGGAAGACGGCUCUAUGAGUUGUAAACUGCUUUUAUAAAGGAAUAAAACGAGGCACGUGUGCCUUUUUGCAUGUACUUUAUGAAUAAGGAUCGGCUAACUCCGUGCCAGCAGCCGCGGUAAACGGAGGAUCCGAGCGUUAUCCGGAUUUAUUGGGUUUAAAGGGAGCGUAGAUGGGUUGUUAAGUCAGUUGUGAAAGUUUGCGGCUCAACCGUAAAAUUGCAAUUGAUACUGGCAGUCUUGAGUACAGUUGAGGUAGGCGGAAUUCGUGGUGUAGCGGUGAAAUGCUUAGAUAUCACGAAGAACCCCGAUUGCGAAGGCAGCUUACUAAACUGUGACUGACAUUGAUGCUCGAAAGUGUGGGUAUCAAACAGGAUUAGAUACCCUGGUAGUC
rnacentral:rRNA from 1 species